UAAUAGUGUAUAUUAAAGUUGUUGCAGUUAAAAAGCUCGUAGUUGAAUGUUGGUGUCGAACGAGCGGUCAGCUUCGGCUGUACUGCUCUCUCGACUCCUUCCUUCUGUGGACUACGUCGCACUUUACUGUGUGGCGCUAGGACGCAGAUCGUUUACUGUGAAAAAAUUAGAGUGUUCAAAGCAGGCCGUACGCUCGAAUACAUUAGCAUGGAAUAAUGGAAUAGGACGUCGGGCCUAUUUUGUUGGUUCUAGGACCGUCGUAAUGAUUAAUAGGGACAGUUGGGGCCGUUUAUAUUCCGUAGUCAGAGGUGAAAUUCUUGGAUUUACGGAAGAUAAACUACUGCGAAAGCAUUCGGCAAGGAUGUUUUCGUUAA
rnacentral:rRNA from 1 species